CUGGCUCAGGAUAAACGCUGGCGGCGCGCAUAACACAUGCAAGUCGAGCGAGAUGAGUGACUUCGGUCAUGAGUCUAGCGGCGGACGGGUGAGUAUAAUAUGAACAACCUGCCUUACAGAGGGGGAUAGCCGGAAGAAAUUUCGAUUAAUACCGCAUAUUCUGGUGUGAUCACAUGAUUGUAUCAGGAAAGUUCGAAAGGACGCUGUAAGAGGGGUUUGUAUCCGAUUAGCUAGUUGGAGUGGUAAAGGCACACCAAGGCGACGAUCGGUAGCUGGUUCGAGAGGAUGUACAGCCACAUUGGGACUGAGAUACGGCCCAGACUCCUACGGGAGGCAGCAGUGGGGAAUAUUGCGCAAUGGAGGAAACUCUGACGCAGCGACGCCGUGUAAAGGAUGAAGGUCUUCGGAUCGUAAACUUAUAUCGAUUAUGAAAAGUGAGGAUGGUAAUAAAGUAAGAAGCCCCGGCUAACUACGUGCCAGCCGCUGC
rnacentral:rRNA from 1 species